rnacentral:rRNA from 1 species
CCUACGGGCGGCUGCAGUGGGGAAUAUUGGACAAUGGGGGGAACCCUGAUCCAGCCAUGCCGCGUGUGUGAAGAAGGCCCUCGGGUUGUAAAGCACUUUCAGUGAGGAAGAACGCCUGGUGGUUAAUACCCAUCAGGAAAGACAUCACUCACAGAAGAAGCACCGGCUAACUCCGUGCCAGCAGCCGCGGUAAUACGGAGGGUGCGAGCGUUAAUCGGAAUUACUGGGCGUAAAGCGCGCGUAGGUGGCUUGAUAAGCCGGUUGUGAAAGCCCCGGGCUCAACCUGGGAACGGCAUCCGGAACUGUCAAGCUAGAGUGCAGGAGAGGAAGGUAGAAUUCCCGGUGUAGCGGUGAAAUGCGUAGAGAUCGGGAGGAAUACCAGUGGCGAAGGCGCCCUUCUGGACUGACACUGACACUGAGGUGCGAAAGCGUGGGUAGCAAACAGGAUUAGAUACCCUUGUAGUC